ACAAAGUUCAUACCAGCUGACCUGAGGGUGACCUUUUGAAAAGAGAAUCCACCAGGAGCGGGAGGGAGGAGAAGCGGACCUCAUAGCCACCCCCUCUCUGAAUAACCUUCGGCCAGGAACACCGCAGAAAACGCAGAAACGGCCCAGAACCUGUAGGAAUAGGAAUGCCCCGGAACGGCCAGGAACCACUUCUGGGGCAUGACGGGGAGGACGACAGGCUGUUGGACGGAGAAAAAGGAUGCCAUCAAGGAUCGAAAGGACGUCCUUCCGACAAGGCGGGCCCGUUCAGGUUUGGCGGGCCGUGUUAUCAGAAGAGACUGCUCCUGCGGGUGGCUCUGAACUGCAGCCCGAGUUGUUCUUAACGAGAGAUUUGGCAAGAACUGGGCCUCUGAGCUAACGGAGAACUGGCUGUAGCAGAUGGAAGUGGAGAGAGUCUUCUUCACGAGUCAGCUGCUGUGGCCUGAAUCCCCUCGGGGCUACCACUCGGAAAAAUCUGCCCCAUUCCAUCUGAUAUUCCCCAAAAGCCCAUUCCCAUUUGUGUCCCAGCAGCUCCUCCAUCACUACUCACAUUCCUGAAGGCACUCCGUGUCUGUGCAGUACGACUGGGAUUGUCUCAACUGAAAGAAAGAGGAAAAGCCAGUUAGUACCAAGGCGCCAACAAGUUGGGCAACUUUUGCAAGAUGGAUUCCUGAGGGGUUUUUUUUCCCUUUCUGAAAAUGUGGCCGCCAUGGGUUGCAAAAUCUCCAAUGCAUGGGUAGAAUUAGAUCCCACCUUUAGGGUGAGCUCUUUUUUGGAAGAGACUUUCUUGCUUUUCUUCAGGUGAACUGUCAUUUUAAAAUGCAAAAGCAAAGAGACAGUUGAGCUUAAUUGCGGAGUGCCUUAUCAAAAACAGGGAUUUUGCCUCUAUUGUACUCUCCCAAACGUUUAGUAUAAUUCUCUACAUCCAGCAGGUGCUUAUUAUUAUUACUGUGGUAUUUGUUAAGCGCUUCCUACGUGUCAGGCACUGUACUAAGCACUGGGGUGGAUACAAGCAAAUCAGGUUGGACAGAGUCCAGCAUUAAACCUUCCAUAAAGGGGUCGGUGAAUUCUGCAGGCUUAGAGAGUUCACUGCACAUUAUCUCCUCCAAAUAAUGUAUAAGGAGGUCAAAAACCACUGGGACCGUUGUUUUCCACUUCUCCCUGGAAAAUGGCCACUUAUCCUUACCCUGGAUUACCUUUUAGCAAAAUGUCUAUCACUUCUUCCAAAUCCAUCAUUAAAACUUUAAAAAAAAA